rnacentral:miRNA from 1 species
AUAUAUAUAUAUAUAUAUAUAUAUGUGUGUGUGUGUGUGUGUGUGUGUGUAUACAUACAUAAAUAUAUAUACUCAGAUAGAGUUUAUUUUACAUAGAUA